rnacentral:rRNA from 1 species
UUCCAGUGAACUAACUUUGUUACGACUUACCUCUUCUUUAGAAGAGGGUGACGGGCGAUAUGUACACCUAAAUUCAAAUUCGUUCUUAAUUUUUAUUAAAAAACUACUUCCAAAUCCUCUUUAAUUUUCUCUUUAGAUGAAAUUCCUUUAAUAAUUUUAAUGAGUAAUUAGCUCCUUCUUCGUUUACAAUCUUCACCUUGACCUGACUUAUUAAAAAUGUUUGGGUAGAAGAUGGGAAUUCUACCUUUAGACGGCGGUAUAAAAGAGAGAAACGGAGAGAAAAUAAACGGGAAAAAUCGAUAAGAACAAAUUCCUCUGGUAAGAGAAAAGGCCGCCAAAAAGU